UAUACCAAACGCUAAGUGUACAGACGCUUGAUUGAAUUAGAUACAAGAUGUACCCGCUGCACUCAGCACUAAAUGAUGUUUCCUAACAAGCAGAAGAAAUCUGACCCCAUCUCGUCUGAACGUGUUUAUCUCUGUAUGAACCAAUUGGCAGUGCCAACAGGAGGAAUUCCCAUAAUAGCAAUACAGGGAAGAAGCCACGAACACAUGAAUUAAGAUAGGACAUCAACUAAUGGGGUGCUGGGAAGGAAGUCGAAAUGAGGACAAGCCCCAAUCACUUUUCGAAAGUUUCACAGUCCACUCUUUUUUGACUCAUAUUCUGUCUGACGCCCAGUGUUUGAUAAUACUGCAUGGCAUUAAGCGAAUCUGGGAAAGGAUUUACUGGAACGCUCCCGCACUGCAAAAUUUGGACGUGCCCGGAGCCAUUUGCCAGCAGUUGAGAAAACAGCGAGUUUGCAGCUAUGUGUAUGUGUGGACCGUAAACUCAAGACACAAUCCUGCUCCACCAGCCAGAGUAACUGGAGACUGCACUCCUAAAACUCUAGCUUAUUGUUAUGACGGGUUGUUUUUUGUUUUGACUUAGAGAGGGACAGAAGUAAUAAACCGAGAAACCCCAAUCAGCAGACGUAGAAAACGGAUCUGAAAAGAACUUUCGUUUGGCGCGUUUAUCCAGUCGAGGAGGUUUUGUGGCUGAACAAAACCCUGGGUUGGGAGGUUUUGUGAGAGUGUUGUUUGUUGAAGUGGAGAAAGAAAAACCGGCGGCUUUUGCCUCAUUGUGUGGAAACCAAUCAGUGGUAUUUGGAAAACUGUUAGCAUUGUGCAGUUAUUCUUGUCUUUUGUGAGAGGAUUCUUUUCACAAGGUUUUUUUUCAGCCGAUCCAGCUGGCCAGAAUGAAUAGCAGUGCAAUGUGUACACGCUUUGUCCCGCUAGCCCUUCAAGUAGCCCUUAUUGAAUAGACUAAGUUGACACUGCAUGACAGUGAAACAACAUAAUAAAAAAUACAUGAGCCACUGAAUAGAAGCAGGCGCAUAAAUAAAUAAAUGGGUGACCAAAACUGGAUAAACUGAAUAACAAAACGGUGAAAGGAGAACAAAAAGAUAUUUAACACGCUAGAUUAGCAUUAGAAUGCAAUCUACAAGGCAGAACAAUUGAUGAAUAGGUUUACCGGCCGAGAAAGAAAUGGACUAAAUGCCUUCUGAAUAGAUAUGCUUUGCUGGAUUGAAUGGGAAAAGGUGGAGUUCGAGUUAUGCAAAUGAAUGAGAGAGUGAGGGAAGUUUUUGAAAAGAUAGAAAAGCUCCAGUUCAGGAUGUUUACUAAAGCAACGGUAGCAUCCGAGCUAUUUUCUUACUGCCAUGCGCUAGCGAAGAACCAACCGAAUAUACGUGUUGGAAGUUCAGUAUUCUCAAGCCUCAGCCAAUCUUUCAUCAAAAUAUCAUUUAACGAUCCCAGUUUUUAGUGGAAGGUAAAUAGCAUUUACUCCCAUGGAUAUAAGAAAGUUGUAGCUAACUCUAUUAAACUCAAUGAAAAUAUUGUUACCUUGGUGUUCAAAAAGCGAUAGCAAAUACCACCAGAGUUGAAUCGUCUUGAAUCUGAUUUGAUUUAAAUUUCAGUCACAAAAGGACAUGAUGGUGAACAAAUGCAAAGUGCAAGUGUGUGAAUCAUACUGUAUUCAUGAAGACAAACGCUUGAAUGCUGACGUUGAGAUUUGUAGGAGAAUGUUAUAUAAAGUUAAUGGGCCGUUUUUUAACAGGUGGAGCACAUUCACUUCUUUUGCAAUUUAUGAUAUAUAUUUGCGACCAACUUGCGCCACUGAAGUUUGAAAUUUGUGAAAUUAUAAUUCAAAUUUACCAGCGAAUAAAAUAUUCAAAGGAAAUAGCACAAUUGUACCUAAACAAUUUUUCACUUAGUUUCACGGGGUAUUGCUAACAGCUUUGCUGUUAGGAACAGUGAAAGAGAGUUGUUCUUACACCUGGGAGAAAGACCAAUACAACAGUGACCGAAUAUCUCGUUUAACCUUGGUGAUUUUAUACAAAAGCUGCUGGAUGAUAUUUUUGUGUUGGAAUGAAAUGUUAUGAUAUGACAUCCCUCUCUUUCGCAAUGUUUAGUAAAGUUUGAAGAAGUCAGAAGAAAGUUUGCCAGAACCCUUUUGAUGAUACCUGUACAGCUCCUUUGAGGUUUUCUUAACAAAACAAAACAUCUUGACGAAGCCAUUAACCUUCCUCUUUAAACAAAAGCAGCAUGCAGUGUAAAUCACAAAGUACACCGAGAAGGGAUUGGUAACAAUUACAGAAGAAAGGAAGUUUAUAUCUAGAUAUAUACAAAUGGACAUGUUCAUCAACACCUGGAAAGUGAAAGGGCAACUUAUAGGGUGAUUUAAUACCUUCCGGUUUCAGUUCUCCGAAUGGUCUAUACCCAAAACAUUACAUUAAAAUUAAGAAAA